rnacentral:rRNA from 1 species
GAUAAACGCUGGCGGCGUGCUUAACACAUGCAAGUCGAACGAAGUUUUUCUUUCGGGAGGAACUUAGUGGCGGACGGGUGAGUAACGCGCGGGUAACCUGCCCUGUACAGGGGGACAACAGCUGGAAACGGCUGCUAAUACCGCAUAAGCCCUUAGCACUGCAUGGUGCAUAGGGAAAAGGAGCAAUCCGGUACAGGAUGGACCCGCGUCUGAUUAGCCAGUUGGCAGGGUAACGGCCUACCAAAGCGACGAUCAGUAGCCGAUCUGAGAGGAUGUACGGCCACAUUGGGACUGAGACACGGCCCAGACUCCUACGGGAGGCAGCAGUGGGGAAUAUUGCACAAUGGAGGAAACUCUGAUUGAGCGACGCCGCGUGAGUGAAGAAGUAUUUCGGUAUGUAAAGCUCUAUCAGCAGGAAAGAAAAUGACGGUACCGGACUAAGAAGCACCGGCUAAAUACGU